AAGGCUGUGUACGUUUAAGGCAAGAGUUCUCUGUGACCUUGUGGUUGUAUAUACUGGUGUUAAUGGUGUUGUUCUCUUGAGUUAGUGGUGUUGUUCUCUUGUGGUUGUAUAUACUGUCGUAUGUUGCCUUGCUCUGUGAUGCCUUGUGUUUGUAUAUGAUGUUUAAGACAAAUGUGAUGCCUUGUGAUUGUAUAUAAUGUCGUGUGUUGCCUUGCUCUGUACUUACGUUCUCUCACUGUUUCUAUAGCCAAUGAUCUGAUGCCUUGUCGUGUGUAUCUUUGUCGCCUGUUGCUCAUUAACUGUGUAUGUGUUUGUGUAGUAGGAUGGAUGAAUCAAGGGAGCUGAUCAAGAUACAGGAACAAGAUUCUUCAAUGAAGAGGACUACAAUUGCCUUUGAGGUGUUGUCACUUCCUUGCAACUCACGGGCUUGUCACUUUCUCUCAUGAUCCCUACACAACUUGUAUGCAUCAGUCACGGGAGUGGGAGUGGAAACCUUGUCGUAUGCAACAGUCCUUGCAUACUCUUGUCGUAUAAUUUAGUCACGGGAGUGGGAGUGGAAAACUUUGUGUUGUCUUGUAUUGUCUUGUAUUGAAACUCACGGGUUUAUUUUAGUCUUGUCUUGUAUUGAAAUAUUGUAAUGUUAUUUUUUCAUAACUUUGUGUUCUCAAAUUCUAUAUAAAGAACGGGCAACAUCUAUUAUCACCU